GGAGAUGGUGUUCCCUGGGUGCUCCU
rnacentral:piRNA from 1 species